GAGCAGAAUGUGUGGGGCCACUGCUCCCAGGAGCCAGUGCCCUGCCGAUGGUAGUUCCUCCAUGCAGCUGUACUGCCCGCAACCCCGCCCCCAGCCCUGACCCCAGCCCUUCCACACAGCUGUCUGCGUCUCCUGUCUGGGAGCAUGCGCGCUGCUUGAACACAAGAGCAUGACCAGGGACAGCUGCUGGUAAGCCUGAUGCCCGCCACAGUGGGUGGGGCUGCGGGCGGUACAGCCGUGCCAGAGGAGCUGUUGGUGUGGGGCACUGGCUCCUGGGAGCGGCAGCCCCACGUUCUGAUCCUUUCACCACUGCGGUUCCCAGGAGAGCCCUGCGGUUCCGCAGAUACCGAUUUAUAUCCGCGGUUAUCCGCAUCCGCGGAUAUAAAUUUGUAUCCACACAGGGCUCUACCCACAGUUGUUACAAGUAACCCCUCUGAUUACUAUGAAUGUGAAAGAGAUUAAAGAAAGAGACAUUUUCUUCAUUUUUUUUUUCAGUUUGGUGACUUUGUGUAUCUGACAGCACUUUUGUAUAGUCCGUUUCACAGCAUGCCUGUUGAUGCUCACCCAUCCCCAGUCUAUGCAAGAGGACAUUUACGAGUAACAGGAGCAGCAAAGCUGACAGUGAAGAGGUAUCAGGCAGAAGUGUAGAUGGAGGAAGGGUGGACAUGUUUAGUGCCACCCCACAAGAUCAUUUUAGAUAUCAGGAGGGAAACAGAAAUCAUUUGCAUAUUUAUUAAGUGAUUUAAAUGAAGUAUUGGGGCAUUAUUUAAAAGGUGCUCUGCCAGAAAACUGAUUUAAAAAUAUAAAAAAUAUUCCAUUAUCAGUGUCAUAUUAAAGUAUCAAUACAAAUAUUUUAGACAUUUAGUAUAUUGCUGCGUGCAUGGUCUAUGUGAAAUAGUUGAGUAGUAUAGAGACUGAGACAAGGAAAGGUUAUAAGCACGUGUUCCACCUGAGUUCUCAAUUUCCAUUAUUUCCAAUUUGCUUGUGCCUGGAUCCCUUUUGCUGUGAGCUUUCCAAUACAUUCUAGGUUGUAGCACAAUUAGGGUGUUAACAACAGGAGAAAUUCAGAUGAUAAUCCGUUAACAUGCAUUGACUUGAGUAUGGAAAAUCACUUGAAUUUCUUCUUUCCUGUUUAUCCCUUUCUGCCUAUUAAGAGAUCCUAUGCAUGGUUCAUCAAGACUGGCAAACUCAUUGACUACAGCUGUAAUAAACACUAACAUGUUUGAGCAAGCAGGGCUCAAAUUUCCCAUUGUUAUAUUUUCUUAAAUGCUUUAAAGCCUUUUUUCACAAAGGGGGGAAAAAGCAUAAAGUCAAUUAAUUCAAGAAGUUCUGGAAAGCAAAAUCUGAUGGCAUACAGUGUGUAUCAUCAUGUAUUAUUAUUAGUCGGUAUUACAGUUCAAAGUUAUGGUUACAUUUUCAGUUGAAACACUCCCUUUAAUUUAGUUUUCAUCUUAAUUGAAUAAGAUAGAAUGCAUAUACUUUUAAAGCAGUUAUUCAGGCAAGAAAUUAUCCAGUGGUGAGACUUUCCAAAGCACCUUGCUACAGCAUAAUCCCCAAUUACUCCUGGAGCCUCAGCUGGCACUGCUGUGCAUAAUCACCAUUUUUCAUCUGUGUAAGGUAAGACUACCAUGAAUGAUUCACUCAGGUGUGGGCAGAUCUUGCUGAAGUUUUUCAUGCCUCUAUAACCAUCUGUUGCCAUACACUCUUGCUACCUUUGUCCUUCUGAUCUUGGCUGUCCUGGAUCUUUAGGUUUUUCUGAUGCACUCUCCAACCACAUACAGCUCAUUGAGAAAAGGUUAUGAUCCAGGAUCAUGCUGGUCAAUGGUGUUGAGUGAUAUCCUGAGCUAGGCUUAGGAACAGAAAAAUGUAAGAAAUGUUUUUCGUGGUCAACAGAUUAUGAGCUAGCAGCGUGGAUUAUUGGGACCCUAAUUUUCCAGAAAAUUUGCUUCAGAACAUGUUUAGUAUACUUCCAGGUAAAGGUAAUAUUAAGGACUCAGUUGUAUUCUGCAGUGAUGAUGAACCACUUUGCAUGAAAUAAUAAAUACUUUCUGUGAUACUUUCUGUGAUACCCUCUUUUUUAAAGUAGGACUUCAAAUCACUGUGAGAACUGAAAAAAUUGAAGGGCAUAAUUUGCUAGAAAUUUCUACUGCCAGCACAGCUGGCAGAGAUCUGUCAAGAGAGGUCCAGGGAAAGGUUAAGGCUGUGAGAAACUGACUGGCCAACCCCAGGAAAUGCAAAAAUCAUGCUUAAAAAUAUGUAUUUGUUGUAAAGAAUGAGACCUCCUUGCCCUAAAAAUGUAUCAUCCAGGAAACUUUUAACUGCUGUGAUUUCUUGAAUACACACAUAAUAAAGCAGUUCUUUCAAAGUUUGGUAAUCUGUAAUGUCUGAAAACUAUCCUUUUUGUGUUUUUAACAUUAAAGCUGUUAAAAUUUUAAACUUAGUAAAUGUCUUAGAUCAAAGGCUGGCUUGGCCUUUACAAGUUUUAUGUAUGAAGAGAAAGCUGCUAAAAUAAGUUCACUUUUGGUCAAUGGUAGUUUGCAGGAAUAUUAUACAGCUAUCAGAGGUCUUAUCAUAGGAGUAAUAAAUCAUGUGCUAGUUCUGGUUAGUCUACAUGUCAGAAGUCACAUUUCUGUAUAUCAAGGAUCAGACUAACUAUGUAUUUGUGUGUGUUUGUAAUUGUACAGCACCCAUUUCAGUUGUUUUUCUUGGCUCAUAGUAACUGCAAGAAAAUCAUUUAUUUUGUUUCCACCAAAAGAACAGAAUCGGCAGAAAACUCCACUUGUCACUAUCUGUGGCUCUGCUAAAGGAAACUUGUGCUCAAGUGAGCUGUGCAAAGUAAACUGCCCAGUAAGACUGACUCCUCAAGUAAGUUGCCUUCCCAGUAAGAAAUCUGCAUGUCGGUUAUAUGAGUUGAGUGCUAGCAGAUUUUUGAUGUUUACAUCUCAUGGGCUUUUGAAUGGCAUAUGACACAUCUCGCUGAAUAGGACAAAGGUGUUGGGAUGGGUUGAUUGUUUUUUGUGUUUCUAGGGGAAGUCAAAAAAGAACUAGAUAAAUUCAUGGAGGAUAGGUCCAUCAAUGGCUAUUAGCCAGGAUGGGCAGGGAUGGUGUCCCUAGCCUCUGAUUGCAAAAGCUGGGAACAGGCGGUAGGGGAUGGAUCACUUGGCAAUUACCUGUUCUGUUCAUACCCUCUAGGGCACCUGGCAUUGGCCACUGUCAGAAGAGAGGAUACUGGGCUAGAUGGACCUUUGGUCUGACCCAGUAUGGCCGUUCUAAGAUGGGCUGAAGUAAAAAUAUGCUGCUGGGAACUCACCACAAGCUUUGCAGAGGUGGUGGCAGGCUGCUCCAUAGCUCAUCUUAUUGACUUCCAUUCGGGUUUUCAUCCUUUCCUAUAUCUUCAGCACUCUAAGACAAAAGGAGUCUAGUUAAUAUUGGAUACCAAAACUAUAUCAUCCAUAACCAACCAUCGCAAGCAAGCCUCUGCAAUCAGUUGAGAGUUUUCCAGAAGGCAAAAGAAAAAGAUUCAAAACAAGCUCAUCUAGAGGCAGAGAUCAAUCAGGAAAUAGAAGACAUGAAGGGAUGACUUCUAAUUCUAACUGUUUUGCUACCUUAAACUAUCAGAAUUGCUAUCAGAUGUUAAACUUUCAGGCACAUUAUGUUACAUCUAAAAGUAGGAUACCCCUACCACUCUCGGAAGAAACUGCACUUGAAGCCAUGGGAAGUGCUGAUAAAGCCUAGAAUUAUGGUUUUUAUUAAAUCCAUGUGUUACACAUAUCCACAACCUGUUUUUUUGUUUGGUUGUUUUUUUAUUUUUUAUUUAUUUAAUUUAUUUUUUUAAAGAGGGUAUCAGAAGUAUACUUACAAUAGCAACAU